UGGGGAAUUUUGUGCAAUGGACGAAAGUCUGACGCAGCAACGCCGCGUGGGUGAUGAAGGUCUUCGGGUUGUAAAACCCUGUCGUCAGGGACGAAGGUUGGGGCCCUAAUACGGUUUCAGCUUGACGGUACCUGGAGAGGAAGCCCCGGCUAACUCUGUGCCAGCAGCCGCGGUAAUACAGAGGGGGCAAGCGUUAUUCGGAAUUACUGGGCGUAAAGGGCGCGUAGGCGGUUUUUUAAGUCGGAUGUGUAAUCCCCGAGCUCAACUUGGUAACUGCAUCCGAAACUGGGAAGCUAGGGUACUGGAGAGGGUGGUAGAAUUCCACGUGUAGCGGUGAAAUGCGUAGAGAUGUGGAGGAAUACCAGUGGCGAAGGCGGCCACCUGGACAGUAACUGACGCUGAGGCGCGAAAGUGUGGGGAGCAAACA
rnacentral:rRNA from 1 species